UGCAGGAAGGCAGCCGGAAGACGAGUGAACCGAUUCAUAAAGACCAGAUACCAGAGUGUGAUGGAGCCUGAGACAACACGCCGAGUGGGUGGCUGUGAAGGUAGUGAGCAAGGAGGGCUCUGGAAGGAACCGAGACUCACGGCGAAAGAGGGUAGUGUAGGAAAGGAAGGGGGCCUGGGGAAGGGGCUUUUCAGAAGAUUAGCAGCAGGUGCAAAGGCCCCGAGGUAGGGUGGAGCUCAGGGUGCUGGAGGUCUAGGAAGGAGGCCCAUGUGGCUGGAGUUGAGUGAGUGAGGGGGACACAGGGAGGAGGUGAGGGGGGCAGGGCAUGCAAGGAACAGGGGCCAGAAGGGAGAUUUGGAUCAUUUCACCCAACAUUUUAUAAUGAAAAAAUUCAGCCCUGCAGAGUAGCUGAAAGACUACUCUGAAUGCCGUGAACCCACCGUUGGAUCUGCCCUUCACAUUUUGUUCUGUCUGCUUCAUCGCACGCCUGCCCGUCCGUCCCAAUGACCCAUCCAUCAGUUCAUCUCAUUUUCCUGGAUGCAUUUCAAAGUAAAAUUUGCUGGAGGGAAUGCAUCUCAAGUUUACAGUGGCUGAGUCUGGACCAAUCUACGCACCUAGGUGACCCAAUCUCCUCCUACCCACAUUCUUUCCAGAAAGUUCUCAUGUGUCCCUUCCUCCACCUCUGCUGCCCAAAGUUAACUUCUAUCCCAUACUUUUAAUAUCGGUCAUCACAGAUUAGUUUUGUCACUUCUAGAACGUCGGAUAAAUGGCUGCACGCGC